GCAGACCGGGUGAUCGCUGGUACUUUUGGUACGAGAGGAAAGUCCGGGCUUCACAGGGCAGGAUACCGGCUAACGGCCGGCUGAGGUAACUCACGGGAAAGCGCAACAGAAAACAUGUAGCCGAUGGCGGGGAACCCCGCACAGGUAAUAGCGAAAAGGCGGUGUAAGAGACCACCGGCCGGGCAGUAAUGCCCGGCGCAUUGCAAGCCCUAUCCGAAGCAAGACCAUGAUGAAGGCUAUGGGGGUGCCCCUCCCGCUUUCAGGUAGGUCGCUUGAGGCCUGUGGCAACACAGGUCCUAGAUAGAUGAUCAUCCAAGACAUAACCCGGCUUACAGGUCUGCCUG
rnacentral:RNase_P_RNA from 1 species